rnacentral:rRNA from 1 species
UACGGAGGGGGCUAGCGUUGUUCGGAAUUACUGGGCGUAAAGCGCGCGUAGGCGGCUUUGUAAGUCAGAGGUGAAAUCCCGGGGCUCAACUCCGGAACUGCCUUUGAAACUGCAUCGCUUGGAUGUCGGAGAGGUGAGUGGAAUUCCGAGUGUAGAGGUGAAAUUCGUAGAUAUUCGGAAGAACACCAGUGGCGAAGGCGGCUCACUGGACGACUAUUGACGCUGAGGUGCGAAAGCGUGGGGAGCAAACAGGAUUAGAA